GUCUUUUUGAUUUUAUAAAAAGUCAGGCCUGCUCAAUGAAUUUUAAAUAGCUGCGGUAUAUUGACCGUACAAAGGUAGCAUAAUCAAUAGUUUUUUAAUUGAAAACUGGAAUGAAGGGUUUAAUAAGAAAAUAACUGUCUCAUUUUAAUUUGUUUAUAAUUUUAUUUUUAAGUUCAAAAGCUUAAAUAUUUUUAAAAGACGAGAAGACCCUAUAGAGUUUAAUUAUUUUUUAUUUAUUUUUUUUUAGAAUUUAAAUAGUGUAAAUAUAGAAUAAUUUAAUUGGGGUGAUUAAAAAAUUAAAUAAACUUUUUUUUAUUUUUUUCAAAUUUUAUUGUUUAAUUGAUCCAUAAAUAUGAUUAUAAGAUUAAAUUACCUUAGGGAUAACAGCGUAAUUUUUUUUGAGAGUUCUAAUCGAAAAAAGAGAUUGCGACCUCGAUGUUGGAUUAAAAUUUAUAUUUGGUGAAGAAGCUGAAUUAUUAAGUCUGUUCGACUUUUGAAAUUUUACA
rnacentral:rRNA from 1 species